AUUUGUUUUAAAAAAGAGAGAGAGAAGAGAAAUGUUUAUUUUACUGGAAUUUUAUUAUACCAAAUAUUGUUCCAAUAUGUAGGCCGUGAUGUGGCACUCUAAAAUCUAGUUCUUGUAAAGAGAUAUAUAAGAAAGCCAUGUUUGUGUUGGUAAGAUUUAAUAAUCAAUCCCCUAGUGAGCUGGGAGAAUUCUUGCCACUUUCAAAGACACCUGCCUUAACCGUAAGACCUAUGGAAAUCUCAUUUGUGGUGUCAUUCUGGGAUCACAAAAGGAUUCCAUUUAAAAUGCAUCGUUAAUUUUUCUACAGAAAUGGAUAUAGAUUGCUAUCUAACAUUUGGAAAUUCAUAGAUUAAUUAAUUUAAAAGAAGUUCAAUGAAAGGAAAGAAGAGAAAAUGAGCAGUGAUAGCUAAAGAUAAAGAAAGCCUGAUCAAUGUAUAUUUGCUUUUUCAAAAAGCAUUUAAUAGGAAACCCCUCAUACUCUGGGCCCCUUACUGACCACUGCAGUUCUGGGAGAAAUGAUGUAAACAUAAAACAUUUUAGUAAAUAUAAUUAUAAUGAGUUCUAAUCACUUAAGAGUAUAUAUUUUUUCUUUGCACCAUGGGUCAUAUGUGAAAUUGUUUUAUUAAUUUUAAAAGAGAGAGAAAUGCUUCCUAACACACAUUAGUUGGAAUAGCGUAAUGGCCAGUAUAACCAGUUUCUUAAACAAGUCAAUUAGAGGAGACGAUCUUUCAGGUAUCCCAUUUGAUUUAUUAUUCACUUGGGAAUUAACAGAGAAUGGAUCAUGAUAUAAAUUCCUCUGUAGGUUUUAUUAUAUUGGCAUUUUGGUGGAUAGAUAAUAUAUAGAACCCCUGGGCCUAUCACUAUCAAGGAUGCUAUUGAUUGUAUCAGCAGCAUUAUCCUGCAAUUUUCCCUCAUAACUAUUUAUGCAUCUCUCUGUGAUUUGUAAUUCAGCAGUAAUCAUUUUCUGUGGCUGCUGCAAUUUUCUUUCCAUGUGGUACCUAGGCUAUGUACUGAAACAAGGCUUGAUUUUAAGCCCAAAGAUUUGGGGUUUCGUUUUAGAAUAAUAGAGAGGAGAUCAAAGAAGUUUUAGAAUUAGAAUUAAUUGUUAAGGAUGAGGAGGAAACAUUAGUCCUUUAUUUUAUUAGUUCCAUGGGUGGAUGAGAGAUAAGCAGUGGCAAAGUGGGAGAACACAGAUAAAAUCAGAGGUGAUUUCAUCAGGGUAGCAGGAGAGGAAAUUAGCAGGAACUUGAUGCUUGGACAAAGUUGAGUCUACUUUUCCCUGCUGGCUCCUUUGGGGGCUGCUUCUGAGCACUUCGUGGGCUUGGAAAGGGAGUAGAAUCUUUUUAAAGCCCUGCUUAUCCCCUCAGGGAGAAAAAAAAAUCUCUGAGGGCCCUGGACUUGGACUGAAACAGAGUUUCAACAGGGUUGAAACCUUGCUCUGGGAACAGAGGCACCAAGCAAGUUUGGGGAGGAAGGGCUAGCUUUUACUUGCCUAACUGAAGAGUGGCAACAUGAAGGUGAUGCACAAAACACACUUGUUUACUUUUCUCCAUCCAUAGUGAGGAAGAAACACACAGAAGAGAACGGUUGUAGCACCCAGGUUGCAGGUGCAUCAGAAAUAGAGAAAUGUAUUCACACCUUGAAGUUGAUGCCGAGGGCUUCUUAAGGAAACUCUAGAGGAUGGGAAAGGAGUACUUCGAUUAGGUCUCCGUGACUCAGGAUAGCUAACAUCCCAGAACUUUCACUCGUAAUUUUGCUCAGACUUCGUCUCCAAGAUCACAUGUUCUCAGUCACAGAACCAUGAGUCGUUAUAUUUCAUCCAAAGAUGACCUGCAAUCCUGCCAUGUUUUGCAGCUGCCACACCCACAGCAGUGCACCUGAUUUUCUGUUGAUUAAAAUGGUCCAACAGCGGGCGCCCCUCCCCACUACCUCGGAAGAGCAACUAUUUAUCCUUUAGAAUCUACCUUGUCCAGGGCUUUUAUAUGCCUGGCCUUUGAAUCGGUCAUCUCCUGUUUGUAUCGUGACUAAGGGAGAGGCUUUCUGGCAAAAUCUUGUCAGUGAUGGUGAUUUCUCCUCCACAUUGCUGCUGAAACUGGGAUGCAGACUUCCUUCACAUUGGCUUUCUUCUUCAGGAAAUGCACAGGAGCCUCUUGCCUUGUAAUACACAGUCUGUCUCAUUCAUAAAGUCUUGUCCUGGAAAAUGCCUCAUUCAUCCCUGCAGAAGACCCGCCGUUGGGAGGGCAGGGGCGUUCGAAACCUUGGGAGACAGAAGACAAUAGUGGAGUGCUUGGCAGCAGUGCCUGGGCUGCUUUAGCAACAUGCACCCACGCCAGGGAGAGGAUAAAACGCUGCAGUUGUUUACUUGCCUCUCUGGAGCAAAAGAGUCUCUUCGCCUACAAUAUAGAUGCCAAAUCCUCAGGUCCUGAGUGAGGAAAUGAUGAGCUUCGCCGGGGAUUGGCAUGAAGUCCUGUGCUCCAAGAUAGCACGGCAUUUUACUUGAAAGCAUUCGUUGUUUAAAGAGAAAACGAGAAUUGUGGGAUUUUUUGUCAAUCGAGAGUCAGCCAACUUCCUCUCCCACUGGCCGCUCACACAGAAUGCCCACCGUGCCCUGCGGUGCCCUGCCACGGAGCCAGGCUGGCCUGCUCUCUGGCCACCGAAGGCACUUGCUUCUCUUUCGGAAUCUGAUCACAGGCAACUUAAAUUUGCCAACGUUACCCAUAUUAGUAAUUGCAAAAUAAUAAACAUGGCAAAUUUCCUAUUAAUAAGGCAUCCAGUGUAACUCCUUUUGCAGAAAGAGCUCUCUGGAAUCCUAAGCCUAAUAGGUCUGUGUUUAUUUCUCCACCAGCAGCAUAAUGUGACUGAUUUACAAGAGUUUAACUCAAGUGUUAAUCUGACAGUGACGAAGAGCUCCUCACUGGUGCAGUCACUUACACUAUCAUAUUAGUUGCCUCCUCUAUUAAAGCAGUGUGGUCGAUAAUUGGAAUGCUUUUAUGUCUAGUGGUUCUGACAAGCCUCUUCUUCAGGUCACAUAUGGGCGGUCUAGCUCUCCGCUCAGCCCAACAGUGGCAAAUAAUUUAAACUGAGAAAGUAUUGUUCUCCUCGUAUUGUGGAGCAAGGGCAGUUCAAGGGAAGUGAGACUGUGCACUGGCUACCUGCUGCUGUGCAGUAAAAUAAGGUGGACAUGAUACAGGGUUGGGAGUACAAUUAAAUCUAUUUUGCACCAAUGUGUUGCUGGACAGAUGAGUUUCCACAUGGCAGAGCUUUAUGAUCUUUAAGGUAGACUGAACUAAUAGAUUGGUGUGGAGCGCACUGAAGUUACCAAGGAUGAGAAAGCAGGCAGUAGUACAUUUGAACUACAGGUUUCUCAUAUGCUCCACGUCAUGCUGAGUUUUUAUAGCUCCUGGCUUUCAAAAAGCCUGUUUCAAAGAGGUUUGCGCUAGACUGGGCAUGCAGUUUUGCUCUGCAGAUAUUGUCGCUACCGAUUUAGUGGAAUGCAAUUAGGAAGCCUAAAUUAAGUGGUAAUGGAGAACCAGCUCUUGAAACUGGGGUUUCCACGGCAACCACUGCUUACAAUACAGCCUUCAGUUAGUUUUCCCACUUUAUCUGCAAAAUGCACAAUUGAGCUUUAAAACAGCUCGGUGCUGAAAAACGCACUGUAAACAACUGUUUGCAAUGAGAGUUUUACACUGUCUUUAAAUACAACAAACUAUCACAUAAAAUUUACUUGCCCUCCCUAAUAAAGCAAAAUCUGGGUUGGCAAUCAGUUAGCGAUUUUAAAAUUUAUUAUUCCUUUCCCCUGUUUGGAUUUAUUUUUAAGGGAAGAUGCCACGAGUCAUUAGGUCUCUUAACUUUGGUCAUUCUUGCUGCAUUUUCAGCUCCCCUGACAAUCUGCCUAUCCCACCAGUCCCUUGCUAAAAUGUGUUUCAUCUUAGCAAAUAAUUGUUUCAAAUAAACAUACAAUGUGCUCCUUUUCUAGGUUCUUUUCGUAUUUUGGUAACAUUUUACAGAUUCUGCUCGUGUUUUCCCUUUGUAACAUGUCAUAGAUUUGCAAGACUUUCCUAUUUACUAAUUUGUUAUUAAUCUUCUUUCCAGCUUACUACUCUUUUAAAAGUCCACGUUUCAUUUCUCUGUACAUUCGGCAAUUAACCAUCGAGGCUGUCUUUUGCCAGCCUAACUAGCAAGAGGAGACAGUUAAAAGAUAAUAUCAAAGCAGGUGUAUUGCUAAACACAGUUGUUUAAAACAGCUAUGAAGAACUUGUACUUUUGUAAAACUCAUUUUCUUUCAUGGUAGGAAUUCCUAUUGUUUUAUUGUAGAGUUGUCAUUUUUGCUUAGGUGCAUCAGAAAUGCUUACACUCAUGCACACGUACACAGCUACACUUACGCAUGCAUUUUUUUAGUGGGGAAAAAAAUCAAAUUGGGUUCUGCAAAGAGGAGAGGAGGAUGGAAUCAAAUUUGGGGUCUCCUAGCUGUAAUACUCUGUUUAAUUGCCAGUCUUAACAGGAUGAGCACUGGAACAUGUCCGGACAGAUCCAGGCAGCUGGUGAAAACUCAUGAAUUCUCUGCAGCACAGAAGGGAGCAGGUUUGCAUUCAGGCCACUGAGACGACGGAGGCUGCAUCACAGAAGAGGCCGUGGGAGGUCACAGGUACGGCCUCUCCUUCUGACUGUACAAUGAACUCUGCAAGCUGUGUGGUCAGAGUGCCAGGGACAGCCAGGAACUGCUGUCAUCGUUCCAGGUGGAGCUGACAGACUGUCUCCGAAGCGCCCACCUGCGCGUGCGCCCCCUCUUCCCGGCACAGGCUAGAGAUGCGCAGAAUCCUAACUACGGCCACCGUUUCCUGCCUCAACGAGCCAUGCCCUAAAAGAAACAAAUGCAUCGCCCCAGAAUUCUUAGAAAGUUACAAUCAUCUGCUUAACUCUUUUAAUUUCCUUUUCCUUCAACUUAAACUUUAAUUUCAGGUAUCUUCUAUACAACACAGAAGUCACGCUCUGGAUAGAAUUAAAAGGAAAUUAACUUGGGGUUUAGGGUGGACGUUUUUUGCCUUAUUUUGCUUCUUAGUAAAUGAAAGUGAAGCCUGAAUAAUGAGAAUAUUAUUAAUCCAUCUCCAUUUUUCUACUUUAAAGGCACAGCAUAGAUUUUGGUUCCAGUUGUUACUACUUUAAUGAGAGUAAUGAAUAUUCCAUGUGAGGGCAGUGUGCAUGAAAGUGUGCUGGGAAAGUUCUAUGGAUCUUUGUGUUUUGUUUCAGUUUUGAGGAUUAAAUGCAAGUUUAAUCCUUUAAUGAAUAUAUAAGUCGGUUGAUGCCCUUUCUUGAGAAAGUUAUGGUUAAAUUGUUGUGUCAAAUCAUUGUAUUUCAUUCUGUCUCCAGUGUGGGGGUAGCAUAGAGAGGUGGUGGGUAGGGCUGGGGGUGAAUAUGUGUGUUUUUCUUAAGCGACGCUAGUUUUGGAAAAUGUAAGGAUUCCAAAGGUUAAUGUGGAUUAAAAUGCUGUCUGCCAUGAACUUUAGAAAUUGAAAUAAAUGUGGUUGGUAAAAGAAGAACUGUGUUUUGAUUACACGGAAAUGCUUUUGUAGGCCUUUUCUUUCAGGUGAAGUAAACAUCUUAAAAAUAAGCACAAUAAAUAUGUUUCU
rnacentral:lncRNA from 1 species